UACGUAGGGUGCGAGCGUUGUCCGGAAUCACUGGGCGUAAAGGGCGCGUAGGCGGCGCGGGAAGUCCGUGGUGAAAGCCCGAGGCUCAACUUCGGGUCGGCCAUGGAUACUCCUGGGCUUGAGCACUGUAGAGGCAGGUGGAAUUCCGGGUGUAGCGGUGGAAUGCGUAGAGAUCCGGAAGAACACCGGUGGCGAAGGCGGCCUGCUGGGCAGUAGCUGACGCUGAGGCGCGACAGCGUGGGGAGCAAACAGG
rnacentral:rRNA from 1 species